rnacentral:tRNA from 1 species
GGUUGUGGCUCAGUGUUAGAGCACUUGCCUAGCAUGUGUGAGGCACUGAGUUCAAUCCCCAGCACCA